UACGAGGGGUCCAAGCGUUGCUCGGAAUCAUUGGGCGUAAAGCGGGUGUAGGUGGCUUUGUAAGUCAGGAGUGAAAGCCCUGGGCUCAACCCAGGAAGUGCUUUUUGAUACUGCGAAGCUUGAGUGUGGGAGAGGAUCGUGGAAUUCCAGGUGUAGUGGUGAAAUACGUAGAUAUCUGGAGGAACACCGGUGGCGAAGGCGGCGAUCUGGCCCAACACUGACACUCAGACCCGAAAGUGCGGGGAUCAAACAGG
rnacentral:rRNA from 1 species